rnacentral:rRNA from 1 species
AGAGUUUGAUCCUGGCUCAGGACGAACGCUGGCGGCGCGCCUAACACAUGCAAGUCGAACGGAGUCAAGAGGAGCUUGCUUUUCUUGACUUAGUGGCGAACGGGUGAGUAACGCGUGAGUAACCUGCCCUGGAGUGGGGGACAACAGUUGGAAACGACUGCUAAUACCGCAUAAGCCCACGGAUCCGCAUGGACCUGCGGGAAAAGGAUUUAUUCGCUUCAGGAUGGACUCGCGUCCAAUUAGCUAGUUGGUGAGGUAACGGCCCACCAAGGCGACGAUUGGUAGCCGGACUGAGAGGUUGAACGGCCACAUUGGGACUGAGACACGGCCCAGACUCCUACGGGAGGCAGCAGUGGGGGAUAUUGCACAAUGGGGGAAACCCUGAUGCAGCGACGCCGCGUGGAGGAAGAAGGUUUUCGGAUUGUAAACUCCUGUCGUUAGGGACGAUAAUGACGGUACCUAACAAGAAAGCACCGGCUAACUACGUGCCAGCAGCCGCGGUAAAACGUAGGGUGCAAGCGUUGUCCGGAAUUACUGGGUGUAAAGGGAGCGCAGGCGGACCGGCAAGUUGGAAGUGAAAACUAUGGGCUCAACCCAUAAAUUGCUUUCAAAACUGCUGGCCUUGAGUAGUGCAGAGGUAGGUGGAAUUCCCGGUGUAGCGGUGGAAUGCGUAGAUAUCGGGAGGAACACCAGUGGCGAAGGCGACCUACUGGGCACCAACUGACGCUGAGGCUCGAAAGCAUGGGUAGCAAAACAGGGAUUAGAUACCCUGGUAGUCCAUGCCGUAAACGAUGAUUACUAGGUGUUGGAGGGAUUGACCCCUUCAGUGCCGCAGUUAACACAAUAAGUAAUCCACCUGGGGAGUACGACCGCAAGGUUGAAACUCAAAGGAAUUGACGGGGGCCCGCACAAGCAGUGGAUUAUGUGGUUUAAUUCGAAGCAACGCGAAGAACCUUACCAGGGCUUGACAUCCAACUAACGAGGCAGAGAUGCAUUAGGUGCCCUUCGGGGAAAGUUGAGACAGGUGGUGCAUGGUUGUCGUCAGCUCGUGUCGUGAGAUGUUGGGUUAAGUCCCGCAACGAGCGCAACCCUUAUUGUUAGUUGCUACGCAAGAGCACUCUAGCGAGACUGCCGUUGACAAAACGGAGGAAGGUGGGGACGACGUCAAAUCAUCAUGCCCCUUAUGUCCUGGGCUACACACGUAAUACAAUGGCGUUCAACAGAGGGAAGCAAAACCGCGAGGUGGAGCAAAUCCCCAAAAAGCGUCUCAGUUCGGAUUGCAGGCUGCAACCCGCCUGCAUGAAGUCGGAAUUGCUAGUAAUCGCGGAUCAGCAUGCCGCGGUGAAUACGUUCCCGGGCCUUGUACACACCGCCCGUCA